GACGAACGCUGGCGGCGUGCUUAACACAUGCAAGUCGAACGGAAAGGCCCUGCUUUUGUGGGGUGCUCGAGUGGCGAACGGGUGAGUAACACGUGAGUAACCUGCCCUUGACUUUGGGAUAACUUCAGGAAACUGGGGCUAAUACCGGAUAGGAGCUCCUGCUGCAUGGUGGGGGUUGGAAAGUUUCGGCGGUUGGGGAUGGACUCGCGGCUUAUCAGCUUGUUGGUGGGGUAGUGGCUUACCAAGGCUUUGACGGGUAGCCGGCCUGAGAGGGUGAACGGCCACAUUGGGACUGAGGUACGGACCAGACUCCUACGGGAGGCAGCAGUGGGGAAUAUUGCACAAUGGGCGGACGCCUGAUGCAGCAACGCCGCGUGCGGGAUGACGGCCUUCGGGUUGUAAACCGCUUUCGCCUGUGACGAAGCGUGAGUGACGGUAAUGGGUAAAGAAGCACCGGCUAACUACGUG
rnacentral:rRNA from 1 species